CACACAGAGAGAGAGGGAAAGGGAGAGACUACUGGGGGAGUGACGGCAGGUCAAGGAGACACAGGAUGAGCAGUAGAGGGUGUUGCAGCAGCAGAUGUGACACUGUUAAUCUGAAUAAAGAGAGAACCUGUGUGGAUCUGGAGAUCUCCUCUGCUGACGUAACAAUGUAAUACAGUGCUACAGUAAAACUUUGCAGAUUAAGUUGGGUUGGAGUAUUCAGCUUCUGUUGAGCUAUUAGUCAGUUUGACUUCCAACCAUGUUGUUAAUUUGUUCAAUUAUUAUGUUCUCAGCAAUAGGAGGCAGUUAUGAGCAGACUAUCGAGCCAAACCAACAUGAAGUGUAUGCAGAAGUGGGUAGUAAUGUUCUUCUUUCCUGCAACUACUCCUCAGCAAACAUUCUACUAUGGUAUAAACAGUCUCCAGGAUCAGCUCCCCAAUACCUUCUGCUCAUCCCACACUACACUGGGACUGGACAGAGAGCUGAUUCUCUUGACUCUCGCAUCUCUGGUAAACUGAACAAAGAGAAGACUCGUGUGGAUCUAGAUAUCACCUCUGCUGAAGUGACAGACUCUGCUCUGUACUACUGUGCUCUGAGGCCCACAGUGACAGGAAACCCAGAAACACUGUACAAAAACCUAACAUCGUCUAAGAGAGUAUUUCUACAUUUCUAGACACGGGAGA